GGGUGCGAUCAUACCAGCUUUAAUGCAUCGGAUCCCAUCAGAACUCUGUGAUUAAGCGCACUUGGGCUAGAGUAGUACUGUGAUGGGUGACCUCCUGGGAAGUCCUAGUGUUGCACCCU
rfam:Picea glauca, whole genome shotgun sequence.